UAGGGAAUUUUCGUCAAUGGGCGCAAGCCUGAACGAGCGAUGCCGCGUGAGUGAAGAAGGCCUUCGAGUCGUAAAGCUCUGUUGCGGGGGAAAAAAGGCAGCAUCAGGAAAUGGGUGCUGACUGAUGGUGCCCCGCCAGAAAGUCACGGCUAACUACGUGCC
rnacentral:rRNA from 1 species